GACCUGGACAGCUCAGUUGGUUAAAGCAUGAUGCUGAUAAUACCAAUAUUGCAGGUUCGAUCCCUGUAUGGGACA